AAAAAAAAAAAAAAAAAACCUAAAAGGUGAAAAGGAAAAAGAAGGGAAGGGGGUGAGGAGGUGGGGUGGGGUGUACAGGGAGAAAAUAAGGACCAGAGAGGCAAGGUGAAAACUAAUCAGAAAAUGGUGUCAAUGGUUAGCUUUUUUUGUGAGGGAGAUUCCUCUAUAAUCUGCUUUUGUCUGUCCAUAAAUCCAGAACCCUUGUUAGCAAAUAAUCUCCGAAGAUUGAUCACUGAAAGUUCAUUGAAGCUAGCAACUGCAAGAUCAGCCUGCACCAGCUCAUACGCAGGAUGAGCACCAAUCAAUGCCACGGCCAUCAUAGUACAGUUGUGAGCAGUAGUUAUGCCUCUGGGAUCAUCCUCAAACACCACACAUUUGGAUGGUUUUCUAUCCAGCUUUAGUCCUGCAGAAAGAAAUCUAUGAGCUAUUGAUUCCAUACCAUCUUCCUCGGCCACUAUUGCCUGAAAUAAUACAGAGAUGAAAUUAGCUGCAGGCCACAGUAAUUUGGAUGAAUAGUUGAAUCCUGAAAUUCAAACCACUAUUGAGAAGUCUGGCAACUUCAAAGAAUUACUAUCUAGUAUUAUCCAAUCAUUUUUUAAAACCAUCACAUUAAAUUACAAAAUACUGUCAUAUUUCUUAAUGUAUCUGUACUAUAACUACCGUACAUAUUCAUAAGCCAAAACAUAAAAUUAAAUCGUCACAAAUGAAAAUAUAUUUUGAUAAAUGAAAGUGGAGGUGGCAAUCCAACUUGAACCCAAAAUAAAUUUUCACUAGCUAAAAGAUUUUCGGUUUGUGCCCAAAUAACCACAAUGGCACACAAUAAUUUAUUUUUCAAUUAAAAAAUCAAAAAUUAAUUUUUAAAAAAUUGCAGAAAAAAAAAACACAAAUAGUUUCAACUUUUAAAAUGUAAUUACAAAAAUGAUCCUAACCAAAUGACCUAGAAAGAAUUCCAAAAACUUGACUAGUUAAUGACCCAAACUCAUGCAAAAUCCAAGCAACCUAAACCAAAAUGAACAAACUCAAAUUUGCCCAACCUCAUAUGAUUGCCACCACUACAUGAAAGUACCAAUUUUAGCAUAUGUAGCCACUGGCAAUUGGAAAAAUGGUAAAUAAAAAAUCACAGCACCUCUUUUUUUUUUUUUGGGUGUUUUGGGGGGGGUGGGUGUGGGGGGGGUGGGUGGUGUUGUUGUGAAGCUGGGUGAUGGCUGUAAAACCGGUUAGAUCAGCCGUGGAACAUUAUCAGCAAAUCAAGAUGAGAAACUAACUAGAUGAAAUUGGAACACACACCCAUACUGUCACAUAUCUGUUCAUGUUUGUAAGAGUCACGACCAUUAGUUCUCCCUUCACAAAAUAUAUUGGCAUACACACACAAAGUCAUCAACCUGAAAAUACUUCUUCUGCCCCAUCCUCUCCAGGGCCCAAACCAUGUUUAUCCGAUCUAGACUUGAAACAACAGCACAUGGAAUGCCAGCUCUCACUGCAGCAUCCAGCCAUUCUUUCAGCCCCUCAAUGGAUUCUCUGAGCUGAGUGAAGAAUAUUGACAACAAUGAAAUUUUAAAUUCAAGAGACAAACAUACCAGCCAUAAAGUCAAUAGAAAGGACCUUACUCUGAGUAAAUGAUAAUAAUACAGCUGUGAUAGCCUCAAUUUCAAUCUAUCCACUUCACUUUCUGCUGUCUCCCAGUGCAAUGCCUGAAAUAAUAAUGUGAAAGCUCAGGUAAGCUUGCACAGUCUCAGAAAGUAACUAUAGUGCAAAUUGACUCCACAUCACCACCAAACAAAUGAAGCCAAAGUCCAACUGCUGGUCGAUCAAGAAAACCUCCCAAACUUGGAGAGUGUCACAUCUAAAAUUCACAGAACUUUUUUUGUACUUUUACAUUCCCCGCACCCCUUUUCUUUCUUAACCAGAAUUGCCUUGGUGCUAAAAACUAAUAGAAAAGAAUCCCUUUAUAUCAAAUACGGUAUAAGUUUCUGCAAGCCCAUGCCACUGAAAAUCUUUAAAUUUUAUUCUUUUUUAUACACAAUCAGUGAAAGAAUUCAUUCCAUCUAAACAAAACAAGAAGAAUUAUCUCGUCAAACAAGAAAUGCAUGUUUUUUAGCCAACACCCAAUUAUGUGAUUUUGAAGGGGAAAAAGAUACUAAAAAUGACCAAAAUUCUCAAACCUUAUGCCAUACAUGAUCUGCACCUGCAUAUAGCAUCAACCUUUGUGCAUAUCCAUCAUCAGGAAUUUCCUUUCCUACACAAGAAUCCAAACAAUUGUACACAGUCACAAAAAUCUCCAAUCCAAUACACCUUGACAAUUAAAAGAAGAAAAAUUGAAUCUUUGCCUCCAUAUGAAACCAACUAGACACCAAGACAACAAGAUGUUCCAUUGCAUCUCUCCUGAUGAUAAAGAAAACAAGAGGCAGUCUUGCACAAAAACUUGCUGCUGUUUCCAACAUUUAAAUGUAGUUAAUUAUGAUAAAGAGUAUUACAAAACAUCUUUACAAAAUCAGCAGCUGUCUUCCAAAAAGUUAAAAACGUCAGAGAAAGUUCUCCUGAUUCUCUAAUUUAUUUUACAUAUACUUUAAAUUAAAGGUAAAACAACAGUUCACAUGAACUUGAAGAAUUUUCACUGUUAGCAAGUUAGGGGUAAAAAAUUACAACAUACCCUCUUCAGAUGCAAGCUGCUUCCACACAUUCAGCUUCAUAGCUCGGGUAUCUGCCUGAAACACAUCAUACAUAAGAUUAAAAAGGAAUUGCAUUAGAAUGUGUCCCUUAGAGCACAUAUGAUUGGGCAUUUUCUCCCUUUUUUAAUACCAUGAUGCCAGUGCCAUUCCCAUUUUCUCUAAUACUCUGUUUCAGGGAAUGGAAAAUAGGAAUAAAAGAUUUUGAAAGGUAAAAAGUAAGGAGAAAGGAAUUUCUCCUUGUUUGGAGAAAAGAGGAAAAAGUUAAAGGGAGUAAAAUAACAUUCAACUUUCCUUUUGGGAUUUCUAUUUCCGAAACUCUCAAUUUAGAGAGAAAAGUAUACCCUUCAUAAAUUUACUAAUCCGUUUCCGUCCUAAUUGAGAUCAAAUCAAAACAAAGUGUAAGUUUCAUUAGCUAUAAAGUCUUCUCUUCACAUGAGAGAUCCAAUACCCCUUUUUCUGUAGAUUAUGGAAACACAAUGUGCUGGCUGUUAUAUAUUCACACGUAUGAAAGUUUCUUUACUUACAACAUCGCUGUUCUUACAAAUUUAUUACGUUAAAACUUCAUCUCAGUUGAUUAAAAUAAAUACAAGAAUAACAAUGCCAACAAGAACAGCAAGAAGAAAUAUCCACUACCAGUAAAAUUGUUUAAAAAGUUAACAAAAACUUUAAAACCUUUCAGUCUUAUAUCCCAACCUUCACGCAAGGUGCAUGAAAUGCAUAUGCGUUUCUCAUACUUUAAUGGUUGAUCAUCAAAUGACACAUCUUAAGGCAUUUCCCCCAAGUGUCAUCCAAAGACGGAAAUCAAGAUAUACACAAGCCAAAGCAAUUAAGCAAGUUCAAAUAGAGCCCAUGUUAUUGGAUUUUGAGGGAGCAAUGUAAUGAAAUUUCAAUUUAACCCUUCACUGCACUGCAUUAAGAAUUUGCAACACCAGCUGAUUCAACUGUAUUUGGUCCCCAAAGGAAUCAAGACACAACAACAAAAUCUAACAGAAGGUUUUUCUUUUAGCAACUUGCGAACUCUUAUGAAACACACAAUGGCAGAGUUUUGGGAGUUUACCACAACAUUG
rnacentral:misc_RNA from 1 species